AGAGGACAACAGAACUUCACAAAUAGUGGAAGUGAAGUUUCAACUUAUGGCCCAAGAAAAUAGAAGUCAGAAUCAAAAUCCAGCAUGCAGAACUUGUUGUAAAACAUGGCAGUACAGGUGAGUUACAAUGUCUCAUUUUUUUUGCAAACUCUCUAACUUAUAUUUCAGAAUAUAAAUUUUCAGGAGUCAGAAUUUGAGACAAGUAUUUUUCUGUAAAUAAAAUCAAAUGAGUUUUGUGUACUUUACAUUACCUUCACUCAAUAUGGGAGGAAAAGAUGUAUUAUCCUAUUAAUUUCAAGUCAGGAGAUCAGGAUUUUCCAGAGGAAACAAAGAAUAAAGGUCUCAUGAAGGUUUAGAAGCACAGUGUCCUGGGUUUUGUGCCACUGCCACUCUUGAUAAACCAAGACGGCACAAACCUGUCUAUAUAGUUUCUCUGAGGUGGAAUAUAAGUUGUCACAUCUAAGCCUGUAUGUGUUUUCAAGCUUUUGCUGGGCAAGUAGUGUUUGUAGCAUAUUAUGUCCAUGAAUGAAACAGAGAAUUGAUGUUUAACUCAACAGGAUCAGCUGGAUGGGCAAGCUGAUUCCAAGUUCCUAUGGCCUGAAGAAGUAGCUAUUGGCUAGCCAGACCUACGCUUUAUCAUGUCAAGGAAAUUGCAAAUCAGAAAUUUCAUUGUUUGGGGGAUAAAAACUCUGAAGACCUCAUAAAUGCACAGUGUCAGUAUAGGGAUCAAUUUCAAACACCUGACAACACUAGACAAUAUAAUUUCAAUAGCCAUUAACUAAGAAAUUUAUUUUACUUUCUUCUUCUACCCACAUAUCUCUAUAUCUCUGGCCCUUGGUGGUCAGAAAUCAGGAUUUGCAAGAAGGGGGUACAUGAGAAUAGCAAAAGGCAGAGAAAGUGAACCAAGUCUAUUGUUAGAUACAAGCCGAUAAGAAACUAAUGAAAGCUCUGAGAUUCAUGAAUGCUGUCAGAAGACACAAGACCCUGGGCUCAGAAAAAGGUAACUUGAUUACCUAUGGCUAGAAGGCACCACGGAUUUUAUGUUUGUACCAGUCCCCUCAGUCCCAUGGACCUAUAUGGAUGCUGAGAACAUAGGGAGUUUGUAACACGUGUGGUGAGAAAUUUUGAACUAGAAAAUCACUUUUUUUUCAAUAGAGGGCUGCAAACA
rnacentral:lncRNA from 1 species